GGAAUAUUGCGCAAUGGGGGAAACCCUGACGCAGCGACGCCGCGUGGGCGAUGAAGGCCUUCGGGUCGUAAAGCCCUGUCGAGUGGGCAGAACGGCGUGAGCUCUAACAUAGCUCGCGUUUGACGGUACCACUGGAGGAAGCCCCGGCCAACGCCGCGCAAGCAGCCGCGGUAAUACGGAGGGGGCGCGCGUUAUUCGGAAUUAUUGGGCGUAAAGCGCGUGUAGGCGGCUUCGCAAGUCCUUAUGUGAAAGCCCUCGGCUCAACCGAGGAAUCGCAUGGGAAACUGCGUGGCUUGAGUCCGGGAGAGGAGAGCGGAAUUCCCAGUGUAGCGGUGAAAUGCGUAGAUAUUGGGAGGAACACCGGUGGCGAAGGCGGCUCUCUGGACCGGUUACUGACGCUGAGACGCGAAAGCCAGGGGAGCAAAC
rnacentral:rRNA from 1 species